rnacentral:rRNA from 1 species
AUACAUGCAAGUCGUACGCACUGGCCCAACUGAUUGAUGGUGCUUGCACCAGAUUGACGAUGGAUCACCAGUGAGUGGCGGACGGGUGAGUAACACGUGGGUAACCUGCCCCGGAGCGGGGGAUAACAUUUGGAAACAGAUGCUAAUACCGCAUAACUACGAAGACCACAUGGUCUUCGUAUAAAAGAUGGCUCUGCUAUCACUCUGGGAUGGACCCGCGGUGCAUUAGCUAGUUGGUAAGGUAACGGCUUACCAAGGCGAUGAUGCAUAGCCGAGUUGAGAGACUGAUCGGCCACAAUGGAACUGAGACACGGUCCAUACUCCUACGGGAGGCAGCAGUAGGGAAUCUUCCACAAUGGGCGCAAGCCUGAUGGAGCAACACCGCGUGAGUGAAGAAGGGUUUCGGCUCGUAAAGCUCUGUUGUUGGAGAAGAACGUACCUGAGAGUAACUGUUCAGGUAGUGACGGUAUCCAACCAGAAAGUCACGGCUAACUACGUGCCAGCAGCCGCGGUAAUACGUAGGUGGCAAGCGUUAUCCGGAUUUAUUGGGCGUAAAGCGAGCGCAGGCGGUUGCUUAGGUCUGAUGUGAAAGCCUUCGGCUUAACCGAAGAAGUGCAUCGGAAACCGGGCGACUUGAGUGCAGAAGAGGACAGUGGAACUCCAUGUGUAGCGGUGGAAUGCGUAGAUAUAUGGAAGAACACCAGUGGCGAAGGCGGCUGUCUGGUCUGCAACUGACGCUGAUGCUCGAAAGCAUGGGUAGCGAA